UAGGGAAUCUUCGGCAAUGGGGGGAACCCUGACCGAGCAACGCCGCGUGAGUGAAGAAGGUUUUCGGAUCGUAAAGCUCUGUUGUUAAGGAAGAACGAGUGUGAGAAUGGAAAGUUCAUACUGUGACGGUACUUAACCAGAAAGGGACGGCUAACUACGUGCCAGCAGCCGCGGUAAUACGUAGGUCCCGAGCGUUGUCCGGAUUUAUUGGGCGUAAAGCGAGCGCAGGCGGUUAGAUAAGUCUGAAGUUAAAGGCAGUGGCUCAACCAUUGUAGUCUUUGGAAACUGUUUAACUUGAGUGCAGAAGGGGGGAGUGGAAUUCCAUGUGUAGCGGUGAAAUGCGUAGAUAUAUGGAGGAACACCGGUGGCGAAAGCGGCUCUCUGGUCUGUAACUGACGCUGAGGCUCGAAAGCGUGGGGAGCGAACAGG
rnacentral:rRNA from 1 species